GUUGCUUCUUACUGGUGAACUCCUUCUCUGUUAUGAGGGAUGUUCAUGUUUCCGAAGCAUAGACGUAUUGUUUAGCCAGCAUUAAACAGCUCGGUGCAUAACACGAAUGUGUUCUGUUGCAUCGUGCUACCUGUCUCCUGGUAAAUUU